UGGGGAAUAUUGCACAAUGGGGGAAACCCUGAUGCAGCAACGCCGCGUGAGUGAUGAAGGCCUUCGGGUUGUAAAGCUCUGUCUUUGGGGACGAUUAUGACGGUACCCAAGGAGGAAGCCACGGCUAACUACGUGCCAGCAGCCGCGGUAAUACGUAGGUGGCAAGCGUUGUCCGGAUUUACGGGGCGUAAAGGAUGCGUAGGCGGAUAUUUAAGUGAGAUGUGAAAUACCCGGGCUCAACUUGGGUGCUGCAUUUCAAACUGGAUAUCUAGAGUGCAGGGGAGGAAAGUGGAAUUCCUAGUUUAGCGGUGAAAUGCGUUGAGAUUAGGAAGAACAUCAGUGGCGAAGGCGACUUUCUGGACUGUACCUGACGCUGAGGCAUGAAAGCGUGGGGAG
rnacentral:rRNA from 1 species